rnacentral:rRNA from 1 species
UAAGGAAUAUUGGUCAAUGGGCGGAAGCCUGAACCAGCCAUGCCGCGUGCAGGAUGACUGCCCUAUGGGUUGUAAACUGCUUUUGUCCAGGAAUAAACCUUUCUACGUGUAGGAAGCUGAAUGUACUGGAAGAAUAAGGAUCGGCUAACUCCGUGCCAGCAGCCGCGGUAAUACGGAGGAUCCGAGCGUUAUCCGGAUUUAUUGGGUUUAAAGGGUGCGUAGGCGGCCUAUUAAGUCAGGGGUGAAAUACGGUGGCUCAACCAUCGCAGUGCCUUUGAUACUGAUGGGGCUUGAAUCCAUUUGAAGUGGGCGGAAUAAGACAAGUAGCGGUGAAAUGCAUAGAUAUGUCUUAGAACUCCGAUUGCGAAGGCAGCUCACUAAGCUGGUAUUGACGCUGAUGCACGAAAGCGUGGGGAUCGAACAGGAUUAGAUACCCUGGUAGUCCACGCCCUAAACGAUGAUAACUCGAUGUUGGCGAUAGACAGCCAGCGUCCAAGCGAAAGCGUUAAGUUAUCCACCUGGGGAGUACGCCCGCAAGGGUGAAACUCAAAUGAAUUGACGGGGUCAUAGCUGUUUCC